UACGGGGGGGGCAAGCGUUGUUCGGAAUUACUGGGCGUAAAGGGCUCGUAGGCGGCCAACUAAGUCGGACGUGAAAUCCCCAGGCUCAACCUGGGAACUGCGUCCGAUACUGGAUGGCUUGAAUUCGGGAGAGGGAUGCAGAAUUCCAGGUGUAGCGGUGAAAUGCGUAGAGAUCCGGAGGAACACCGACGGCGUAGGCAGCGCCCUGGACGACACCUGACGCUGAGGCACGAAAGCUGGGGGAGCGAACAGG
rnacentral:rRNA from 1 species